CAAAUAUAUUUUUAUUUUUAUUUAUUAUUUAUUUAUUUAUUUAUUUUUUGAGAUGGAGUUUCGCUCUUGUUGCCCAGGCUGGAGUGCAAUGGUGAGAUCUCUGCUCACUGCAACCUCCACCUCCCAGGUUCAAGGGAUUCUUGUGCCUCAGCCUCCUGAGUAGCUGAGAUUACAGGCACCCACCACCACGUCCGGCUAAGUUGUUGUUUUUUGUUUUUGUUCUUGUUUUUUUGAGAGAUGGAGUCUUGAUCUGUCACCCAGGCUGGAGUGGAGUGGCGGUAUCUCGGCUCACUGCAACCUCCACCUCCCGGGUUUGAGCGAUUCUCCUGCCUCAGCUUCCCAAGUAGCUGGGACCACAGACGUUUGCCACCACUCCCAGUUAAUUUUUGUAUUUUUUUAGUAGAGUUGGGGUUUCACUAUAUGUUGGCCAGCCUGGUCUCAAACUCCUGACCUCAGGUGAUCUGCCCACCUCGGCCUCCCAAAGUGUUGGGAUUAUAGGCGUGAGCCACCGUGCCUGGCCAAUUUUUUGUAUUUUUUUGUAGAGACGGGGUUUCACCAUGUUGGCCAGGCUGGUCUUGAAUUCCUGGCCUCAGGUUAUCCGCCUGCCUGAGCCUCCCAAAGUGCUGGAUUACAGGCAUGACCCACCAAACCCAGCCCAAAUAUAUUUGCAUAUAUAUAUAUUUUAAUAUCCCACGCCUACACUCUGGGAUAACUCAGCUCUUACAGGCAGUAAUCAUGGGUCAGACCUGCCAUUAUCCAGUUCAGCCCAUUUCAUUUGACAGACACCUGGUGAAUAGAGACAUGCAGGGACUCUUGUCCACAUUUGCCCAGUUGGCUGAUAGCACAGUGUACAAAGUCUGUCUGCAGCAGGUCAUAAUUUCACAGCUCUGCCACAUGCAUGUAUAUCACUGUACCAAGCGUGUUCACAUGGUAUGGUGCUGACACAUGUUGACGGAAUGUGGUACAGACCCUCUGUGUGAAGUGUGUUCACACAGUGCGGUGCUGACCCUCUGUAUGAAGCGUGUUCACACGGUGCGGUGCUGACUCUCUGUAUGAAGCGUGUUCACCUGGUGCAGGACAGACUCUCUGCAUGAAGCAUGUUCACACAGUGCGGUGCUGACCCGACCCUCUGUAUGAAGCAUGUUCACACGGUGCAGUGCUGACUCUCUGUAUGACACAUGGUGCAGUACUGACUCUCUGUUUGAAGUGUGUUCACAUGGUGCAGUGCUGACCUGUAUGAAGGAUGUUCACGCGGUGCGGUGCUGACUCUCUGUAUAACACAUGUUCACGCAGUGAGGUGCUGAUCUUCUGUAUGAAGCAUGUUCACACAGUGCAGUGCUGACUCUCUGUAUGAAGUGUGUUCACACGGUGCAUUGCUGACCUUCUGUAUGAAGUGUGUUCACACAGUGAGGUGCUGAUCUUCUGUAUGAAGCAUGUUCACACGGUGCAGUACUGACUCUCUGUAUGAAGUGUGUUCACACGGUGCGGUGCUGACUCUCUGUAUGAAGCGUGUUCACACAGUGCGGUGCUGACUCUCUGUAUGAAGCAUGUUCACACGGUGCGGUGCUGACUCUCUGUAUGAAGUGUGUUCACCUGGUGCAGUACAGGCUCUCUGCAUGAAGCAUGUUCACACAGUGCGGUGCUGACCCUCUGUAUGAAGCGUGUUCACACAGUGCAUGUGAAACCAGAACCGACAGUCGAACCCAAGCAGAAGUCUUGACCAAGCACUUCCCUCCUGGGAAUGCACCAUGAUAUCACCACACCGAAGUCCAGGCUGGCAAAUAGGGACAUUUAAGUGACAUUUAAGCUCGUGGUGGCCCUAUGAGGAGUCAUUGCUGACUGAGAUGGGAUUUUAAGGUGUUGCCUGCCUGUGUGUUCUCAGACCCUCUCCUGAAGCCCC
rnacentral:lncRNA from 1 species